AGCUCCAAUAGCGUAUACUAAUGUUGUUGCAGUUAAAAAGCUCGUAGUCGGAUUUCAGAAUCAAUAUUUCGCCACUAUGGCAAUAAUGUUGUUUCUUCUUAACGAAAAGCUAUUGUGGUCUUAAUUGGUUGCAGUAGGGUAUCGUUUCUUUUACUUUGAGAAAAUUAGAGUGUUCAAAGCAGGCAUUUGCCCGAAUAUUACUCUUGGAAUAAUCGUAUAGGACUUUGGUCUCAUUUGAUGGUUUGGAGGCCGAAGUAAUGAUUAAUAGGGACGGUUGGGGUCAUUCGUACUGCAAAGCGAGCGGUGAAAUGCUUGGACCUUUGUAUGACGACCUACUGCGAAAGCAUUUGACUAGGACGUUCCCG
rnacentral:rRNA from 1 species